rnacentral:lncRNA from 1 species
AGUGCCUGAAGAGCAUAUUUGCCGAAACAAAUACGAUUACCUCGAAAAGCUAUUCCUUUCAUUCUUCCUCUAUGUUGUUUACGGAAUCGGGUUCUUUUUGGGUUAUAGUUGAUGGUUGUUUCUCAAUUCCAUCUCUACUACAGAACCGGACAUGAGAGUUUCUUCUCAUCCAGCUCCUCGCGAAUGAAAUGUAUAUAUAUGUGUUUGAUGAAUAAUAUACUAAAUCAUGGGAUUCUUUGAGAUUUCACUUAAUUUAUUUACUUAAUCUAAUCUAUUUCUAAUUUAUUUAUUAGAUUAUUUUCUAUUUUAUUAGAUUAUUAGAAUAGAAAUAGAAAUUGGUAUAUAUAUAUAUAUAUAUAUAUAUUUUUUUAUUAUAAUUAUGAUAUCAGAUCGCUAAAAUUUAGAAAUCCAAUAAUCUAAAAAAUUUCGCGGGCGAAUAUUUACUCUUUCAAUAUUUAUUUUAUUUGUUUUGUAGAGCUAAUCCACGAUCCUUCAGAAUAAAUGGAUUGUCUUUUGGUUCCUUUCGCUAUCCUCCCAAUAAAUCAUUAAGAUUUGUUUUCAAUAAAAUCUUAUGUAUUUACAGGUUCCGUCGUUCCCAUCGCUUCUCCAUUAAUGGUUAGGUCUUAAUUUUACAAUGGAGCCUCUAAUUUGAUUUGUUCUUGAGUCAAUCUUCUCAGUCUUUAUUGGCUCGAGGCUCUUGAUUUUUUGUUUUAUGAAUGAAUUAGUUUCAUUAUAGAUCAAUUGGUAUUGAUGCUUUAGUACAUUAGCCUUUAUCUGAUGAUUCAUAGACCUUACAUAUCGGAAUCAUAGAUCAUUGAUAUUUUUUUCUCUCUUUCUUUCACCCUUCCAUUUAUCCGCAUAAUUUUGAUUUUGAUUUACAACUCCUAAUCAAAUCAGAUUGGUUUUUCUUUUGUUUUUUGUUUUGUUUGUGCAAAAAGGAUUUAAAUUGCUCCAAUAAUAAAUAAAAAUAUGAGCAAUAUAUCAUAUCUUGAAUGUUUCCUUGGAUCUAGAUAAUGCAAAGCGAUGAGUUGGUUAUUAGUUGUAUUUGGUUAUUAGUUGUAUAUUUAUACUUAUUAGUUCAUAGUAUGAGUCAGUCCUUUUUUUUAAUCCUGAACCUAAAAAACCAACGAGUCACACACUAAGCAUAGCAAUUAUAUCAAAUUAUCAAUCGAAUUUUUUAUUUUAUUCAACCCUAUAGAAAUAUAAUUCGAAUUGAUUCUUUUUUUUUUUAAUAAUAAAAAAAAAAAGAAUCAAAGAGUUUGUCAUUUUUGUUUUAUCAAUAGAUAGAAUGUAAAGACAAGUCAAGUAAGGGUUUAUUAU